UUUGAUCAUGGCUCAGAUUGAACGCUGGUGGCAGGCCUAACACAUGCAAGUCGAGCGGCAUCGAGUGAUCGCAGUUUACUGAGUUCAUGUCGGCGAGCGGCGGACGGGUGAGUAAAGUCUGGGAAUCUGGCCGAAGGAGGGGGAUAACUGCUGGAAACGGCAGCUAAUACCGCAUGAAGUCGCGAGACCAAAGUGGGGGACCUUCGGGCCUCACGCCUUCGGAUGAGCCCAGAUGAGAUUAGCUGGUAGGUAAGGUAAAGGCUUACCUAGGCGACGAUCUCUAGCGGGUCUGAGAGGAUAGCCCGCCACACUGGAACUGAGACACGGUCCAGACUCCUACGGGAGGCAGCAGUGGGGAAUAUUGCACAAUGGGCGAAAGCCUGAUGCAGCCAUGCCACGUGUGUGAAGAAGGCCUUCGGGUUGUAAAGCACUUUCAGCGAGGAGGAAGCGAUAAAUGCGAA
rnacentral:rRNA from 1 species